rnacentral:rRNA from 1 species
UACGAACUGUGCAAACGUUAUUCGGAAUCACUGGGCUUAAAGGGUGCGUAGGCGGUCGCACAAGUCAGGUGUGAAAUCCCCCGGCUCAACCGGGGAACAGCGCUUGAAACUAGGUGACUAGAGUGAGGUAGGGGUACGCGGAACUUCUGGUGGAGCGGUGAAAUGUGUAGAUAUCAGAAGGAACGCCGGUGGCGAAAGCGGCGUACUGGGCCUUGUCUGACGCUGAGGCACGAAAGCUAGGGAAGUGAACGGGAUUAGAUACCCCGGUAAUCCUAGCCGUAAACACUGAGCACUGGAGGGGAGGGGCUUCGGCCUUUUCCCUCGUAGCGAAAGCGUUAAGUGCUCCGCCUGGGGAGUAUGGUCGCAAGGCUGAA